rnacentral:rRNA from 1 species
UACGGAGGGGGCUAGCGUUAAUCGGAAUUACUGGGCGUAAAGCGUGCGCAGGCGGUUAUGCAAGACAGAUGUGAAAAUCCCCGGGCUCAACCUGGGGAACUGCAUUUGUGACUGCAUGGCUAGAGUACGGUAGAGGGGGAUGGAAUUCCGCGUGUAGCAGUGAAAUGCGUAGAUAUGCGGAGGAACACCGAUGGCGAAGGCAAUCCCCUGGACCUGUACUGACGCUCAUGCACGAAAGCGUGGGGAGCAAACGAGG